rnacentral:rRNA from 1 species
GCCUACGGGGCGCAGCAGUAGGGAAUUUUCGUCAAUGGGCGCAAGCCUGAACGAGCAAUGCCGCGUGAACGAGGAAGGUCUUCGGAUCGUAAAGUUCUGUUGAAGGGGAAAAAGAGCGGAGAGAGGAAAUGAACUCCGAUUGAUAUUACCCUUCGAGGAAGUCACGGCUAACUACGUGCCAGCAGCCGCGGUAAUACGGAGGAUGCGAGCGUUAUCCGGAUUUAUUGGGUUUAAAGGGUGCGCAGGCGGUCUGUUAAGUCAGCGGUCAAAGCCCGGGGCUCAACCCCUGCCCGCCG